rnacentral:other from 1 species
CGACCUCUGCGAUGUUCGACACCGGACCUUAAUUGUCGACCCGACUUACAAACCGCAGGGAACCGAUUGUCUGUGACAGCGUGUAAAUCAGCAGCAUCCUGCAUGGAAUGCCGACUGCUCACACAAGUUACGGCGGCGGUACCCACCUGACAUUGCGGGUUUGUACAACACGGUCCCCCGGCAUACUGCGGAGGUUUG